rnacentral:rRNA from 1 species
GACGAACGCUGGCGGCGUGCUUAACACAUGCAAGUCGAACGGAAAGGCCCUGCUUUUGUGGGGUGCUCGAGUGGCGAACGGGUGAGUAACACGUGAGUAACCUGCCCUUGACUUUGGGAUAACUUCAGGAAACUGGGGCUAAUACCGGAUAGGAGCUCCUGCUGCAUGGUGGGGGUUGGAAAGUUUCGGCGGUUGGGGAUGGACUCGCGGCUUAUCAGCUUGUUGGUGGGGUAGUGGCUUACCAAGGCUUUGACGGGUAGCCGGCCUGAGAGGGUGACCGGCCACAUUGGGACUGAGAUACGGCCCAGACUCCUACGGGAGGCAGCAGUGGGGAAUAUUGCACAAUGGGCGGAAGCCUGAGGCAGCAACGCCGCGUGCGGGAUGAAGGCCUUCGGGUUGUAAACCGCUUUCGCCUGAGACGAAGCGUGAGUGACGGUAAUGGGUAAAGAAGCACCGGCUAAAUACGUG